AACACAUGCAAGUCGAGGGGCAGCAUGGUCUUAUCUUGCUAAGGCCGAUGGCGACCGGCGCACGGGUGAGUAACGCGUAUCCAACCUGCCUUACACUCUUGGACAGCCUUCUGAAAGGGAGAUUAAUACAAGAUGUUAUCAUGAGUAAGCAUUUUCGCAUGAUUAAAGGUUUACCGGUGUAAGAUGGGGAUGCGUUCCAUUAGAUAGUAGGCGGGGUAACGGCCCACCUAGUCUUCGAUGGAUAGGGGUUCUGAGAGGAAGGUCCCCCACAUUGGAACUGAGACACGGUCCAAACUCCUACGGGAGGCAGCAGUGAGGAAUAUUGGUCAAUGGACGAGAGUCUGAACCAGCCAAGUAGCGUGAAGGAUGAAGGUUCUAUGGAUUGUAAACUUCUUUUAUACGGGAAUAAACGGAUCCACGUGUGGAUUUUUGCAUGUACCGUAUGAAUAAGGAUCGGCUAACUCCGUGCCAGCAGCCGCGGUAAUACGGAGGAUCCGAGCGUUAUCCGGAUUUAUUGGGUUUAAAGGGAGCGUAGAUGGGUUGUUAAGUCAGUUGUGAAAGUUUGCGGCUCAACCGUAAAAUUGCAAUUGAUACUGGCAGUCUUGAGUACAGUUGAGGUAGGCGGAAUUCGUGGUGUAGCGGUGAAAUGCUUAGAUAUCACGAAGAACUCCGAUUGCGAAGGCAGCUUACUAACCUGUAACUGACAUUGAUGCUCGAAAGUGUGGGUAUCAAACAGGAUUAGAUACCCUGGUAGUCCACACGGUAAACGAUGAAUACUCGCUGUAGGCGAUAUACAGUCUGCGGCCAAGCGAAAGCAUUAAGUAUUCCACCUGGGGAGUACGCCGGCAACGGUGAAACUCAAAGGAAUUGACGGGGGCCCGCACAAGCGGAGGAACAUGUGGUUUAAUUCGAUGAUACGCGAGGAACCUUACCCGGGCUUAAAUUGCAACCGAAUAUGGCGGAAACGCUAUAGCUAGCAAUAGCGGUUGUGAAGGUGCUGCAUGGUUGUCGUCAGCUCGUGCCGUGAGGUGUCGGCUUAAGUGCCAUAACGAGCGCAACCCUUGCCGAUAGUUACUAACAGGUCAUGCUGAGGACUCUGUCGGGACUGCCAUCGUAAGAUGUGAGGAAGGUGGGGAUGACGUCAAAUCAGCACGGCCCUUACGUCCGGGGCUACACACGUGUUACAAUGGGGGGUACAGAGGGCUGCUACCACGCAAGUGGAUGCCAAUCCCAAAAACCUCUCUCAGUUCGGAUUGAGGUCUGCAACCCGACUUCAUGAAGCUGGAUUCGCUAGUAAUCGCGCAUCAGCCACGGCGCGGUGAAUACGUUCCCGGGCCUUGUACACACCGCCCGUCAAGCCAUGGGAGCCGGGGGUACCUGAAGUGCGUAACCGCAAGGAGCGCCCUAGGGUAAAACUGGUGACUGGGGCUAAGUCG
rnacentral:rRNA from 1 species